UCUGCCCAUCAGACGGGGACAACGAUUGGAAACGAUCGCUAAUACCGGAUAGGACGAAAGUUUAAAGGUGCUUCUGGCACCGCUGAUGGAUGAGCCUGCGGCGCAUUAGCUAGUUGGUAGGGUAAAGGCCUACCAAGGCGACGAUGCGUAGCCGACCUGAGAGGGUGAACGGCCACACUGGGACUGAGACACGGCCCAGACUCCUACGGGAGGCAGCAGUAGGGAGUCCUCGGCAAUGGGCGAAAGCCUGACCGAGCAACGCCGCGUGAAUGAUGAAGGCCUUCGGGUUGUAAAAUUCUGUUAUAAGGGAAGAACGACUUUAGUAGGAAAUGGCUAGAGUGUGACGGUACCUUAUGAGAAAGCCACGGCUAACUACGUGCCAGCAGCCGCGGUAAUACGUAGGUGGCGAGCGUUAUCCGGAAUUAUUGGGCGUAAAGAGCGCGCAGGUGGUUGAUUAAGUCUGAUGUGAAAGCCCACGGCUUAACCGUGGAGGGUCAUUGGAAACUGGUCGACUUGAGUGCAGAAGAGGGAAGUGGAAUUCCAUGUGUAGCGGUGAAAUGCGUAAAGAUAUGGAGGAACACCAGUGGCGAAGGCGGCUUCCUGGUCUGUAACUGACACUGAGGCGCGAAAGCGUGGGGAGCAAACAGGAUUAAAUACCCUGGUAGUCCACGCCGUAAACGAUGAGUGCUA
rnacentral:rRNA from 1 species